UAGUAACUGCGAGUGAAGCGGGAAAAGCUCAAAUUUAAAAUCUGACGGUUUUGCCGUCCGAGUUGUAAUCUGGAGAAGCGUUUUCCGCGUUGGACUGUGUACAAGUCUCUUGGAACAGAGCGUCAUAGAGGGUGAGAAUCCCGUCCAUGCCACAGACUCCCAAUGCUUUGUGAUACGCUCUCGAAGAGUCGAGUUGUUUGGGAAUGCAGCUCAAAAUGGGUGGUAAGCUCCAUCUAAAGCUAAAUAUUGGCGAGAGACCGAUAGCGAACAAGUACCGUGAGGGAAAGAUGAAAAGCACUUUGGAAAGAGAGUUAAACAGUACGUGAAAUUGUUGAAAGGGAAACGCUGGACGUCAGUCGCGUCUUACUGGACUCAGCCUUGCCUCGGCUUGGUGUAUUUCCUGUGAGACGGGUCAACAUCGAUUUCGACCGGUGGACAAGGGGGUAGGGAAUGUGGCACGCCUCGGCGUGUGUUAUAGCCCUGCCUCGUAUGCAUCGGUGGGGGAUCGAGGCCCGCAGCGCGCCUUUUUGGCCGGAGGUUCGCCUCACGUAUCGCGCUUAGGAUGUUGGCAUAAUGGCGUUCAGCGACCCGUCUUGAAACACGGACCAAGGAGUCUAACAUGCUCGCGAGUGUUUGGGUGGAAAACCCUUGCGCGAAAUGAAAGUGAAUGUUGAGAGCCUCCGCAAGGGGGUGCAUCGACGCCCGGCCCUGAAGUUCUCUGACGGUGCUGCGGUUGAGCGCGUAUGUUGGGACCCGAAAGAUGGUGAACUAUGCCUGAAUAGGGCGAAGCCAGAGGAAACUCUGGUGGAGGCUCGUAGCGAUUCUGACGUGCAAAUCGAUCGUC
rnacentral:rRNA from 1 species